rnacentral:rRNA from 1 species
UACGUAGGGUGCGAGCGUUAAUCGGAAUUACUGGGCGUAAAGCGUGCGCAGGCGGUUUGCUAAGACCGAUGUGAAAUCCCCGGGCUCAACCUGGGAACUGCAUUGGUGACUGGCAGGCUAGAGUAUGGCAGAGGGGGGUAGAAUUCCACGUGUAGCAGUGAAAUGCGUAGAUAUGCGGAGGAACACCGAUGGCGAAGGCAAUCCCCUGGGCCUGCACUGACGCUCAUGCACGAAAGCGUGGGGAGCAAACAGG